UGGGGAAUUUUGCGCAAUGGGCGCAAGCCUGACGCAGCAAUGCCGCGUGAGUGAAGAAGGCUUUCGAGUCGUAAAGCUCUUUAUCUUUGGGAAGAAAUUGACGGUACCAGGGGAAGAAGCACCGGCUAACUACGUGCCAGCAGCCGCGGUAAUACGUAGGGUGCAAGCGUUGUUCGGAAUUACUGGGCGUAAAGGGCGUGCAGGCGGAAAAGCCAGCGGAGGGUGAAAGACCGGGGCUCAACCUCGGAAGUGCUUUCCGAACUGUUUUUCUAGAGAGGAUCAGAGGCUGACAGAAUUCCUGGUGUAGAGGUGAAAUUCGUAGAGAUCAGGAGGAAUAUCAGUGGCGAAAGCGGUUGGCUGGGAUCACUCUGACGCUGAGGCGCGAAAGCGUGGGGAGCAAACAGGAUUAGAUACCCUGGUAGUCCACGCUGUAAACGAUGGAUACUAGAUGUUCGGGAUGUUCGACCAUUCUGGGUGUCGCCGUUAACGCAAUAAGUAUCCCGCCUGGAGAC
rnacentral:rRNA from 1 species